GAGCAGAUGAUGUUAAACUUAUACAUAGACUGAGAUCUUUUGGGGUCUCUGAUGUCCACAAAAUCGAGCUUUUUAAAACUGAUGCUUA
rnacentral:snoRNA from 1 species